rnacentral:rRNA from 1 species
GACAGAGGGUGCAAGCGUUGUUCGGAAUUACUGGGCGUAAAGCGCGUGUAGGCGGCUUUGCAAGUCGGGUGUGAAAUCCCACGGCUCAACCGUGGAAGUGCACUCGAAACUGCAAGGCUAGAGUCCUGGAGAGGAAGGUGGAAUGCUUGGUGUAGAGGUGAAAUUCGUAGAUAUCAAGCGGAACACCGGUGGCGAAGGCGGCCUUCUGGACAGUGACUGACGCUGAGACGCGAAAGCGUGGGGAGCAAACAGG